rnacentral:rRNA from 1 species
AGCGAACGCUGGCGGCAGGCUUAACACAUGCAAGUCGAGGGGUGCGGCAGACGGGUGAGUAACGCGUGGGAACGUACCUUUUGGUUCGGAACAACACAGGGAAACUUGUGCUAAUACCGGAUACCGAAAGAUCGGCCCGCGUCUGAUUAGCUAGUUGGUAGGGUCAUGGCCUAACAAGGCGACUAUCAGUAGCUGGUCUGAGAGGAUGAUCAGCCACAUUGGGUCUGGGACACGGCCCAAACUCCAUCGUGAGGGAGCAGUGGGGAAUUUUUGACGAUGGGGGCAAUCCUUAUCCAGCCAUGCCGCGUGAUUUAUGAAGGCCCUAGGGUUGUAAAGCUCUUUUGUGCGGGAAGCGGUACCGCAAGUAUAAGCCCCGGCUAACUCCGUGCCAGCCGCCGCGGUAUUAC